AUUGAACGCUGGCGGUAUGCCUUACACAUGCAAGUCGAACGGCAGCACAGUAUGGGCUUGCUCUUACUGGUGGCGAGUUGCGGACUGCUUCGGAAUACAUCCGAAUCUACUUUUUCGUGGGGCAUAACGUUUGGUAAUUUCCCCUACUACCUCAUACUGCAUACGGGUGAACGCAAGGGCUCUUCGGACCUUGCCCGCUUGUAUGAGCCGAUGUCGGAUUAGCUAGUUGGCGGGAUAAAGGCCCACCAAGGCGACGAUCCGUAGCUGGUCUGAGAGGAUGAUCAGCCACACUGGAACUGAGACACGGUCCAGACUCCUACGGGAGGCAGCAGUGGGGAAUAUUGGACAAUGGGCGCAAGCCUGAUCCAGCCAUACCGCGUGGGUGAAGAAGGCCUUCGGGUUGUAAAGCGCUUUUGUUGGGAAAGAAAAGCAGCAGGUUAAUACAGGGCGGUUAUGACGGUACCGAAAGAAUAAGCACCGGCUAACUACGUG
rnacentral:rRNA from 1 species